UACAGAGGUCUCAAGCGUUGUUCGGAUUCAUUGGGCGUAAAGCGCGUGUAGGCGGCUUUGCAAGUCGGAUGUGAAAGCCCACGGCUCAACCGUGGAAGUGCAUCCGAAACUGCAUGGCUUGAGUCUCGGAGAGGAAGGUGGAAUGCUUGGUGUAGAGGUGAAAUGCGUAGAGAUGUGGAGGAACACCAGUGGCGAAGGCGACUCUUUGGCCUGUAACUGACGCUGAGGCGCGAAAGCGUGGGGAGCAAACAGG
rnacentral:rRNA from 1 species